rnacentral:rRNA from 1 species
CGCGUAGGCGGCCCGCCAAGUCCCGUGUGAAAGCCCCCGGCUCAACCGGGGAACGGCGCGGGAAACUAGCAGGCUUGAGUUCGGGAGAGGGAAGCGGAAUUCCGGGUGUAGCGGUGAAAUGCGCAGAUAUCCGGAGGAACACCGGUGGCGAAGGCGGCUUCCUGGACCGACACUGACGCUGAGGCGCGAAAGCUAGGGGAGCAAACGGGAUUAGAUACCCCGGUAGUCCUAGCCCUAAACGAUGAGAACUGGGUGUAGGGGGUAUGAACCCCCCCUGUGCCGAAGCUAACGCAUUAAGUUCUCCGCCUGGGGAGUACGGUCGCAAGGCUGAA